rnacentral:rRNA from 1 species
GACGAACGCUGGCGGCGUGCUUAACACAUGCCAGUCGAACGGAAAGGCCCUGCUUUUGUGGGGUGCUCGAGUGGCGAACGGGUGAGUAACACGUGAGUAACCUGCCCUUGACUUUGGGAUAACUUCAGGAAACUGGGGCUAAUACCGGAUAGGAGCUCCUGCUGCAUGGUGGGGGUUGGAAAGUUUCGGCGGUUGGGGAUGGACUCGCGGCUUAUCAGCUUGUUGGUGGGGUAGUGGCUUACCAAGGCUUUGACGGGUAGCCGGCCUGAGGGGGUGACCGGCCACAUUGGGACUGAGCUGCGGCCCAGACUCCUACGGGAGGCAGCAGUGGGGAAUAUUGCACAAUGGGCGGAAGCCUGAUGCAGCAACGCCGCGUGCGGGAUGACGGCCUUCGGGUUGUAAACCGCUUUCGCCUGUGACGAAGCGUGAGUGACGGUAAUGGGUAAAGAAGCACCGGCUAACUACGUG